rnacentral:rRNA from 1 species
UGGGGAAUAUUGGACAAUGGGGGCAACCCUGAUCCAGCCAUGCCGCGUGUGUGAAGAAGGCCUUAGGGUUGUAAAACACUUUCAGCGGGGAAGAUGAUGACGGUACCCGCAGAAGAAGCCCCGGCUAACUCCGUGCCAGCAGCCGCGGUAAUACGGAGGGGGCUAGCGUUGUUCGGAAUUACUGGGCGUAAAGGGCGUGUAGGCGGCCUGCCAAGUCAGAUGUGAAAGCCCCGGGCUUAACCUGGGAACUGCAUUUGAGACUGGCCGGCUAGAGGUUGGAAGAGGAGAGUGGAAUUCCCAGUGUAGAGGUGAAAUUCGUAGAUAUUGGGAAGAACACCAGUGGCGAAGGCGGCUCUCUGGUCCACACCUGACGCUGAGGCGCGAAAGCGUGGGGAGCAAACAGGAUUAGAUACCCAGGUAGUCCCUGAGCGGGCUGGCAAGGCGCAU